CCUACGGGUGGCAGCAGUGAGGAAUAUUGGUCAAUGGGCGCGAGCCUGAACCAGCCAAGUAGCGUGAAGGAUGACUGCCCUACGGGUUGUAAACUUCUUUUAUAAAGGAAUAAAGUGAGGCACGUGUGCCUUUUUGUAUGUACUUUAUGAAUAAGGAUCGGCUAACUCCGGACCAGCAGCCGCGGUAAUACGGAGGGUCCGAGCGUUAUCCGGAUUGAUUGGGUGUAAAGGGAGCGUAGAUGGGUUGUUAAGUCAGUUGUGAAAGUUUGGGGCUCAACCGUAAAAUUGCAAUUGAUACUGGCAGCCUUGAGUACAGUUGAGGGAGGCGGAAUGCGUGGUGUAGCGGUGAAAUACUUAGAUAUCACGAAGAACUCCGAUUGCGAAGGCAGCUUCCUAAACUGCCACUGACAUUGAUGCUCGAAAGUGUGGGUAUCAAACAGGAUUAGAUACCCCAGUAGUC
rnacentral:rRNA from 1 species